CGUUCUAAGGGCGUUGAAGCAUGAUCGUAAGGACAUGUGGAGCGCUUAGAAGUGAGAAUGCCGGUGUGAGUAGCGAAAGACGGGUGAGAAUCCCGUCCACCGAUUGACUAAGGUUUCCAGAGGAAGGCUCGUCCGCUCUGGGUUAGUCGGGUCCUAAGCUGAGGCCGACAGGCGUAGGCGAUGGAUAACAGGUUGAUAUUCCUGUACCACCUAUAAUCGUUUUAAUCGAUGGGGGGACGCAGUAGGAUAGGCGAAGCGUGCGAUUGGAUUGCACGUCUAAGCAGUAAGGCUGAGUAUUAGGCAAAUCCGGUACUCGUUAAGGCUGAGC
rnacentral:rRNA from 1 species